GUAGGUGGCAAGCGUUGUCCGGAUUUACUGGGCGUAAAGCGCGCGCAGGCGGACUGAUCAGUCCGGGGUGAAAUCUCACGGCUCAACUGUGAGCGGUCCCCGGAUACUGUCAGCCUUGAGGGGUCUAGAGGAGAGCGGAAUUCCCGGUGUAGUGGUGGAAUGCGUAGAUAUCGGGAAGAACACCAGUGGCGAAAGCGGCUCUCUGGGGACCAUCUGACGCUGAGGCGCGAAAGCGUGGGGAGCGAACCGGAUUAGAUACCCGGGUAGUCCACGCCGUAAACGAUGAGCACUAGCUGUCGGGGGUAUCGACCCCUCCGGUAGCGCAGCUAACGCGAUAAGUGCUCCGCCUGGGGACUACGGCCGCAAGGCUA
rnacentral:rRNA from 1 species